GACGAACGCUGGCGGCGUGCUUAACACAUGCAAGUGGAGCGACGAACCAGGCUUCGGCCUGGGGCAAAGCCGCGAACGGGUGAGUAACACGUGGGUAACCUGCCCCAAUGACCGGGACAACUCGGGGAAACCCGAGCUAAUACCGGAUGUGUCUCCCUCACACCAGUGAGGGAUGGAAAGGAAGCUUCGGCCUCCGCAUUGGGAUGGGCCCGCGGCCCAUUAGCUUGUUGGUGAGGUAACGGCNCACCAAGGCAUCGAUGGGUAGCUGGUCUGAGAGGACGAUCAGCCACACUGGGACUGAGACACGGCCCAGACUCCUACGGGAGGCAGCAGUGGGGAAUCUUGCGCAAUGCGCGAAAGCGUGACGCAGCAACGCCGCGUGGGGGAAGACGG
rnacentral:rRNA from 1 species